GAUGAACGCUGGCGGCGUGCUUAACACAUGCAAGUCGAACGGAAAGGCCCAAGCUUGCUUGGGUACUCGAGUGGCGAAAGGGUGAGUAACAAGUGGGUGAUCUGCCCUGCACUUCGGGAUAAGCCUGGGAAACUGGGUCUAAUACCGGAUAGGACCACUUCUUGGAUGUUGUGGUGGAAAGUUUUUUCGGUGUGGGAUGAGCUCGCGGCCUAUCAGCUUGUUGGUGGGGUAAUGGCCUACCAAGGCGUCGACGGGUAGCCGGCCUGAGAGGGUGUACGGCCACAUUGGGACUGAGAUACGGCCCAGACUCCUACGGGAGGCAGCAGUGGGGAAUAUUGCACAAUGGGCGCAAGCCUGAUGCAGCGACGCCGCGUGGGGGAUGACGGCCUUCGGGUUGUAAACUCCUUUCGCUAGGGACGAAGCGUUUUGUGACGGUACCUGGAGAAGAAGCACCGGCUAACUACGUG
rnacentral:rRNA from 1 species